AGAGAGACUGAGACUGUGAGUGGGGGAGGGGCAGAGAAAGAGAGAGACACAGAAUCUGAAGCAGGCUCCAGGCUCUGAGCUGUCAGCACAGAACCUCAUGUGGGGUUGAACUCAGGAACAGCAAAAUCAUGACCUGAGCUGAAG